rnacentral:rRNA from 1 species
AGCGAACGCUGGCGGCGUGCCUAACACAUGCAAGUCGAACGUGAAAGGGAGCAAUCCCAAGUAAAGUGGCGUACGGGUGAGUAACACGUAGGUAAUCUACCCCAGAAUCUGGAAUAACCGGCCGAAAGGCUGGCUAAUACUGGAUAGAGCGACGGAAUCCGUAAUUGGGUUUUUCGGGAAAGGGAGCCUGUAAAAAGGCCUUCGUUCUGGGAUGAGCCUGCGUCCCAUCAGCUAGUUGGUGAGGUAAAAGCUUACCAAGGCAAUGACGGGUAGCUGGUCGGAGAGGACGAUCAGCCACACUGGAACUGAAACACGGCCCAGACUCCUACGGGAGGCAGCAGUGGGGAAUCUUGCGCAAUGGACGAAAGUCUGACGCAGCAACGCCGCGUGAGUGAAGAAGGCCUUCGGGCUGUAAAGCUCUGUCGAGUGGGACGAAAAUGCUUGGAGUUCACAGCUCCAGGAACUGACGGUACCACUAAAGGAAGCACCGGCUAACUCCGUG